CCGUUCGCCUGGGGACUACGAGCACUAGCUUGAAACCCAAAGGACUUGGCGGUGCUUUAGAUCCACCUAGAGGAGCCUGUUCUGGAACCGAUAACCCCCGUUUAACCUCACCCUCCCUUGCUUAUUCCGCCUAUAUACCGCCGUCGUCAGCUUACCCUGUGAAGGCAGCAUAGUAAGCAAAACCAGUACAACUCAAAACGUCAGGUCGAGGUGUAGCAUACGGGAGGGGAAGAAAUGGGCUACAUUCUCUGGUUAAGAGAAUACGGAUAAUGACAUGAAAAAUCAUUUGAAGGAGGAUUUAGUAGUAAGCAAAAAGCAGAGUGUUUUGCUGAAACCGGCCCUGAAGCGCG
rnacentral:rRNA from 1 species